CGUAGGGGGCAAGCGUUGUCCGGAUUUAUUGGGCGUAAAGAGCGUGUAGGCGGCCAGACAGGUCCGUUGUGAAAACUCGAGGCUCAACCUCGAGACGUCGACGGAAACCGUCUGGCUAGAGUCCGGAAGAGGAGUGUGGAAUUCCUGGUGUAGCGGUGAAAUGCGCAGAUAUCAGGAAGAACACCUAUGGCGAGGGCAGUACUCUGGGACGGUACUGACGCUGAGACGCGAAAGCGUGGGGCGCAAACAGGAUUAGAUACCCUGGUAGUCCACGCCGUAAACGAUGGAUGCUAGGUGUGGGCGGUGUCGACUCCGUCCGUGCCGAAGCUAACGCAUUAAGCAUCCCGCCUGGGGAGUACGGCCGCAAGGCUA
rnacentral:rRNA from 1 species